GCCUGGGUGGCUCAGUCGGUUAAGCACCAGACUUCAGCUCAGGUCACGAUCUCACAGUUUGUGGGUUUGAGCCCCGCGUCAGGCU
rnacentral:tRNA from 1 species